rnacentral:tRNA from 2 species
GCCGGGAUAGCUCAGUUGGUAGAGCAGGGGACUGAAAAUCCUCGUGUCC